ACUCAAAUGAAUUGACGGGGACUUGCACAAGCGGUGGAUCAUGCGGCUCAAUUCGAUGGCAAACGAAGAACCUCACCAGGGUUUGCACCCAGACGACCACGUAGGAAACUACGUCUCCGCAAGGCGGCUGGGCAGGUGAUGCAUGGUCGUCGUCAGUUCGUGGCUUGAGUUGUUCCCUUCAGUGGGGUAACGAACGCAACCCGCGUUGCCUGUUUUAAAUGUCAGGCGAGACUGCCCUCUCACGAGGGAGGAAGGUGCGGAUGACGCCAGAUCAGCAUGUCCCUCUGAUAUCCUGGGCUGCACGCAUGAUACAAUGGGCGCGGCAACGAGACGCAAUGGGGUAACCCGGAGCAAAUCUUUAAACGCGCCCCCAGUUCGGAUUGAGGUCUGCAACUCGACCUCAUGAAGCCGGAAUCGCUAGUAAUCGCGGGUCAGCUAUACCGCGGUGAAUACGUUCUCAAGUCUUGUACACACCGCCCGU
rnacentral:rRNA from 1 species